CAAGAGUUAGUUUAUUAAAAUAUUAGUUUUGGGGAUUAAAGAUAGGAUUUUUCUACUCUUGA
rnacentral:tRNA from 1 species